GACGAACGCUGGCGGCGUGCUUAACACAUGCAAGUCGAACGGAAAGGCCCUGCUUUUGUGGGGUGCUCGAGUGGCGAACGGGUGAGUAACACGUGAGUAACCUGCCCUUGACUUUGGGAUAACUUCAGGAAACUGGGGCUAAUACCGGAUAGGAGCUCCUGCUGCAUGGUGGGGGUUGGAAAGUUUCGGCGGUUGGGGAUGGACUCGCGGCUUAUCAGCUUGUUGGUGGGGUAGUGGCUUACCAAGGCUUUGACGGGUAGUCGGCCUGAGAGGGUGACCGGCCACAUUGGGACUGAGAUACGGCCCAGACUCCUACGGGCGGCAGCAGUGGGGAAUAUUGCACAAUGGGCGGAAGCCUGAUGCAGCAACGCCGCGUGCGGGAUGACGGCCUUCGGGUUGUAAACCGCUUUCGCCUGUGACGAAGCGUGAGUGACGGUAAUGGGUAAAGAAGCACCGGCUAACUACGUG
rnacentral:rRNA from 1 species